GGGGCGGUCGCUCAGUUGGUAGAGCAGUUGACUUUUAAUCAAUUGGUCGCAGGUUCGAAUCCUGCACGACCCACCA
rnacentral:tRNA from 1 species